rnacentral:rRNA from 1 species
CGACCGGGUGAGUAACACGUGACUAACCUACCUUCGAGUGGGGAAUAACCUCGGGAAACCGGGGCUAAUACCGCAUAAUCUUCGGCAAAGGAGCGCUUGAAGAGGGGGUCGCGGCCGAUUAGCUAGUUGGCGGGGUAACGGCCCACCAAGGCGAUGAUCGGUAGCCGGCCUGAGAGGGCGCACGGCCACACUGGAACUGAAACACGGUCCAGACUCCUACGGGAGGCAGCAGUGGGGAAUUUUGCGCAAUGGGGGAAACCCUGACGCAGCAACGCCGCGUGGAGGAUGAAGCCCCUUGGGGUGUAAACUCCUUUCGAUCGGGACGGUUGACGGUACCGGAUGAAGAAGCACCGGCUAACUCUGUGCCAGCAGCCGCGGUAAUACAGAGGGUGCAAGCGUUGUUCGGAAUUAUUGGGCGUAAAGGGCGCGUAGGCGGUGCGGUAAGUCUGUUGUGAAAUCUCCGGGCUCAACUCGGAGCCUGCAACGGAAAC